GGGGUGGUGGCGCAGUUGGCUAGCGCGUAGGUUUCCUAAUCCUGAGGUCAAGAGUUCAAACCUCUCUCACCCCA
rnacentral:tRNA from 1 species